AGGACGAACGCUGGCGGCGUGCUUAACACAUGCAAGUCGAGCGGAAAGGCCCUUCGGGGUACUCGAGCGGCGAACGGGUGAGUAACACGUGAGUAAUCUGCCCCUAGCUCUGGGAUAGCUCCGGGAAACCGGGAUUAAUACCGGAUACGACCACCUUAGACAUCUUUUGUGGUGGAAAGAAUUUCGGCUAGGGAUGAGCUCGCGGCCUAUCAGCUUGUUGGUGGGGUAACGCCCACCAAGGCGAAGAUCGGUAUCCGGCCUGAGAGGGCGCACGGACACACUGGAACUGAAACACGGUCCAGACUCCUACGGGAGGCAGCAGUGGGGAAUUUUGCGCAAUGGGGGAAACCCUGACGCAGCAACGCCGCGUGGAGGAUGAAGCCCCUUGGGGCGUAAACUCCUUUCGACCAAGACGAUAAUGACGGUACUGGUGGAAGAAGCACCGGCUAACUCUGCGCCAGCAGCCGC
rnacentral:rRNA from 1 species